UACGUAGGGUGCAAGCGUUGUCCGGAAUUAUUGGGCGUAAAGAGCUCGUAGGCGGUCUGUCGCGUCGGCUGUGAAAUCCCGAGGCUCAACCUCGGGUCUGCAGUCGAUACGGGCAAACUAGAGUAUUGCAGGGAGACUGGAAUUCCUGGUGUAGCGGUGAAAUGCGCAGAUAUCAGGAGGAACACCGGUGGCGAAGGCGGGUCUCUGGGCCGAUACUGACGCUGAGGAGCGAAAGCGUGGGAGCGAACGGG
rnacentral:rRNA from 1 species